rnacentral:tRNA from 2 species
GGGCGAUUAGCUCAGUCGGUAGAGCACCUGACUUUUAAUCAGGUUGUCGGGGGUUCGAAUCCCCCAUCGCUCA